CCUACGGGAGGCAGCAGUAGGGAAUAUUGCUCAAUGGGGGAAACCCUGAAGCAGCAACGCCGCGUGGAGGAUGAAGGUUUUCGGAUUGUAAACUCCUUUUGUUAGAGAAGAUAAUGACGGUAUCUAACGAAUAAGCACCGGCUAACUCCGUGCCAGCAGCCGCGGUAAUACGGAGGGUGCAAGCGUUACUCGGAAUCACUGGGCGUAAAGAGGGCGUAGGCGGGAUAGCAAGUCAGAUGUGAAAUCCUAUGGCUUAACCAUAGAACUGAAUUUGAAAAUGUUAUUCUAGAGUAUGUGAGAGGUAGGUGGAAUUCUUGGUGUAGGGGUAAAAUCCGUAGAGAUCAAGAGGAAUACUCAUUGCGAAGGCGACCUGCUAGAACAUAACUGACGCUGAUGCGCGAAAGCGUGGGGAGCAAACAGGAUUAGAUACCCUAGUAGUC
rnacentral:rRNA from 1 species